rnacentral:rRNA from 1 species
CUGCUAAUACCGAAUACGAUCCGAAAGUCGCAUGACAUUUGGAUGAAAGGGUGGCCUAUCGAAGAAGCUAUCGCUUGAAGAGGGGUUUGCGUCCGAUUAGGUAGUUGGUGAGGUAACGGCCCACCAAGCCGACGAUCGGUAGCCGGUCUGAGAGGAUGAACGGCCACACUGGAACUGAGACACGGUCCAGACUCCUACGGGAGGCAGCAGGG